GAUGAACGCUGGCGGCGUGCCUAAUACAUGCAAGUCGAGCGAACGGACGAGAAGCUUGCUUCUCUGAUGUUAGCGGCGGACGGGUGAGUAACACGUGGAUAACCUACCUAUAAGACUGGGAUAACUUCGGGAAACCGGAGCUAAUACCGGAUAAUCUUUUGAACCGCAUGGUUCAAAAGUGAAAGACGGUCUUGCUGUCACUUAUAGAUGGAUCCGCGCUGCAUUAGCUAGUUGGUAAGGUAACGGCUUACCAAGGCAACGAUGCAUAGCCGACCUGAGAGGGUGAUCGGCCACACUGGAACUGAGACACGGUCCAGACUCCUACGGGAGGCAGCAGUAGGGAAUCUGCCGCAAUGGGCGAAAGCCUGACGGAGCAACGCCGCGUGAGUGAUGAAGGUCUUCGGAUCGUAAAACUCUGUUAUUAGGGAAGAACAUAUGUGUAAGUAACUGUGCACAUCUUGACGGUACCUAAUCAGAAAGCCACGGCUAACUACGUG
rnacentral:rRNA from 1 species